ACCAUUGUAUUGCAAAACAAUGGGAGUUUUAUAUGAGAUCAUUGCUUACGUUUAUCAAUCCCUUUAAGCUCUAUAAAUUGCUGUUCAGCUAUCAUAUAUUUCCCAAGUUGAAUUACACCAUUAAUUACAUAUUUUACCCAGAAAAUCAUAAGCUUUUCUUCAUUUUGCCUCUCCUCCUUCACGACCACCGCGGCACCGCCGCUACCGCCACCACCUGCUUCCGGCGAAUCUUCCCGUCGCCUCCCAGAACCCAGCCCCGGCGUCAUCCAUUCCGUCGCCGGAAUCCAACUUAGCUCUGCAUCAUCGUGUGGUUGUUGCGCGUAUGCCCCUGCUUGGCUGCUUCUCUACUUAUUUUCCUCCCUCUUUUUGGUUACUGUAAAAUAUGGGAUGUGGGCCUUUAUUUCAUAGUGGAGUAACUAUUAUUAUGAUGGGCUUUUAAAAGGAAAAGCAUCAACGAGCUAAUAUGAUUUAUGAGGGAAUUUGCACCGUGAUGAUAUUUAAGGAUUAAGCCGAUUGGUUAAUCGAAAGAGGUUCGGUUAAGGAGCUAGAGUUGCUCAAGAGAAAAGUUAUUACUGUAGUUGGUAGUUUAUUAUGGAGAUAUCAAGAUGAGAAAUAUUUAUUAUGGAAAUCUUGUUAUUGAGGUUGUUAUAAGAAUAUUGAUUUAUAAUUAUUUUUGGGAAAGUUGUAUUAUUUCUGAAAUGUUAUUAAGGAUUAUUUUAUUUGUGGGCCCAUACCCACAGGUCCCAGAAUUAAUUAAGCUUAAUUUCGCUGCUAAUGAUGAGUUAUGUAAGGUUUAUUACCGAUAAUUAAGGUACCGAAAAGUCG